rnacentral:lncRNA from 1 species
AAGACUUAAACAUUUUUCAUCAUCAUUUGGAGAGUUAAAAACCUUCAGAAAUAAAUGCAUAGAAAUACAAUAAAAAUUACAGUUAUCAUAAAGAUUUACUGCAAAAAGUUCUUGAGCAUACCAAAGUACUUCUGAAGAAUGUUUGUUAUCUAAAUCAAGGGGCUUAUUAAUAAAGAACCACAGCAAAUAGAAAAUAAAAAAGCCAACACCAAAUUUGCCAGUAAAUUGCCUGCUCCAGAAAUAAGCAUACAUAUGUAACCAAUUAAAAAGCAAUAAACUUCACUAAAUUUACCUGAGGAAAAAAAAAGAACAGAUUAGGAAGCAAGAGUAGGUCAUCUUUGCCCUAUAAAUAGAGCAUUGCUGUGUUCUGUGGGAAGGACUGAGAAAACCUCACUUAUUAUCAGCCAGCAAACCUCUCAAGAAACAUGAGCUUGAAACACCAAUUAUGAUGGAAGCUAUUUUCCUUCAAGCUAUAGAAGCUCUGGACAAUCCUUUGCUUCCUGUAUCUUCUGCAAUGCUGAAACAGAACAGAAUUGUUGCAUAUAUGAAGCUACAGAUAUUCAAGGGGACUAGAGCUUCAAAAGUGAAGAUACUGCUGAAUUGAAGGUCAACUGGCAAAAACCUGAAGGCUGGAUUGGUUGGUGAAUGGAAGAGGUUGGCAGAAAGGAAACACAUAAUACUGUGAGAAGUACAGUGGCUAAUCACAAGAGAUUGAGUAGUACAUAGGAUACAAGAAUCUCUUUCUGGCUGACACAUGAGAUCAGGAGAGCAAGUAUUCAAGGUUUUUUUGCCCACUUCACCGCCAACAUUUAGAAGUAGCCUGUGGUUGAUGUAGCUUGAGAAGUAUAGAGACCACUGCUGAAAUUUGGGGCUGGUUUGGGAAGCAGUGGUAGUUCAGAG